UUCCGGUUGAUCCUGCCGGAGGCCACUGCUAUGGGGGUCCGACUAAGCCAUGCGAGUCAUGGGGCGCGCUCUGCGCGCACCGGCGGACGGCUCAGUAACACGUCGGUAACCUACCCUCGGGAGGGGGAUAACCCCGGGAAACUGGGGCUAAUCCCCCAUAGGCCUGAGGUACUGGAAGGUCCUCAGGCCGAAAGGGGCUUUCGCCCGCCCGAGGAUGGGCCGGCGGCCGAUUAGGUAGUUGGUGGGGUAACGGCCCACCAAGCCGAAGAUCGGUACGGGCCAUGAGAGUGGGAGCCCGGAGAUGGACACUGAGACACGGGUCCAGGCCCUACGGGGCGCAGCAGGCGCGAAACCUCCGCAAUGCGGGAAACCGCGACGGGGGGACCCCCAGUGCCGUGGCAUCGCCACGGCUUUUCCGGAGUGUAAAGAGCUCCGGGAAUAAGGGCUGGGCAAGGCCGGUGGCAGCCGCCGCGGUAAUACCGGCGGCCCGAGUGGUGGCCGCUAUUAUUGGGCCUAAAGCGUCCGUAGCCGGGCCCAUAAGUCCCUGGCGAAAUCCCACGGCUCAACCGUGGGGCUUGCUGGGGAUACUGCGGGCCUUGGGACCGGGAGAGGCCGGGGGUACUCCUGGGGUAGGGGUGAAAUCCUAUAAUCCCAGGAGGACCGCCAGUGGCGAAGGCGCCCGGCUGGAACGGGUCCGACGGUGAGGGACGAAGGCCAGGGGAGCGAACCGGAUUAGAUACCCGGGUAGUCCUGGCUGUAAAGGAUGCGGGCUAGGUGUCGGGCGAGCUUCGAGCUCGCCCGGUGCCGAAGGGAAGCCGUUAAGCCCGCCGCCUGGGGAGUACGGCCGCAAGGCUGAAACUUAAAGGAAUUGGCGGGGGAGCACUACAAGGGGUGGAGCGUGCGGUUUAAUUGGAUUCAACGCCGGA
rnacentral:rRNA from 1 species